rnacentral:rRNA from 1 species
AUAAACCGGACGGAAGGUGGGGAGUGACGUCAAGUCAGCAUGGCCUUUAUAUCCUGGGCUACACACACGCUACAAUGGGAAGGGACAAUAGGUUGCGAAGCCGCGAGGCGGAGCCAAUCCAGCAAAACUUCCCUCAGUUCAGAUUGCAGGCUGCAACUCGCCUGCAUGAAGUUGGAGUUGCUAGUAAACGCAGGUCAGCCAUACUGCGUUGAAUACGUUCCCGGGGGCUU